UACGAAGGGUGCAAGCGUUACUCGGAAUUACUGGGCGUAAAGCGUGCGUAGGUGGUUGUUUAAGUCUGUUGUGAAAGCCCUGGGCUCAACCUGGGAACUGCAGUGGAAACUGGACAACUAGAGUGUGGUAGAGGGUAGCGGAAUUCCCGGUGUAGCAGUGAAAUGCGUAGAGAUCGGGAGGAACACCGGCGGCGAAGGCGGGUCUCUGGGCCAUAACUGACGCUGAGGAGCGAAAGCGUGGGGAGCGAACAGG
rnacentral:rRNA from 1 species